rnacentral:rRNA from 1 species
UACGUAGGGUGCUAGCGUUGUUCGGAAUCAUUGGGCGUAAAGGGCGCGCAGGCGGCUGCUCAAGUCAGGCGUGAAAGGCCUGGGCUCAACCCGGGAAUUGCGCUUGAGACUGGGCUGGCUUGAGUGCGGGAGAGGAUGGUGGAAUUCCCAGUGUAGAGGUGAAAUUCGUAGAUAUUGGGAAGAACACCGGUGGCGAAGGCGGCCAUCUGGACCGCAACUGACGCUGAGGCGCGAAAGCGUGGGGAGCAAACAGG